GACAGAGGAUGCAAGCGUUAUCCGGAAUGAUUGGGCGUAAAGCGUCUGUAGGUGGCUUUUCAAGUCCGCCGUCAAAUCCCAGGGCUCAACUCUGGACAGGCGGUGGAAACUACCAAGCUGGAGUACGGUAGGGGCAGAGGGAAUUCCGGUGGAGCGGUGAAAUGCGUAGAGAUCGGAAAGAACACCAACGGCGAAAGCAACUCUGCUGGGCCGACACUGACACUGAGAGACGAAAGCUAGGGGAGCGAAUGGG
rnacentral:rRNA from 1 species